rnacentral:rRNA from 1 species
GAUGAACGCUGACAGAAUGCUUAACACAUGCAAGUCGACUCGAGUCUUCGGACUUGGGUGGCGCACGGGUGAGUAACGCGUAAAGAACUUGCCUCUUAGUCUGGGACAACAUCUGGAAACGGAUGCUAAUACCGGAUAUUAUGGUUUUUUCGCAUGGAGGAAUCAUGAAAGCUAGAUGCGCUAAGAGAGAGCUUUGCGUCCCAUUAGCUGGUUGGUGAGGUAACGGCCCACCAAGGCAAUGAUGGGUAGCCGGCCUGAGAGGGUGAACGGCCACAAGGGGACUGAGACACGGCCCUUACUCCUACGGGAGGCAGCAGUGGGGAAUAUUGGACAAUGGACCACAAGUCUGAUCCAGCAAUUCUGUGUGCACGAUGACGUUUUUCGGAAUGUAAAGUGCUUUCAGUCGGGAAGAAGUCAGUGACGGUACCGACAGAAGAAGCGACGGCUAAAUACGUGCCAGCAGCCGCGGUAAUACGUAUGUCGCAAGCGUUAUCCGGAUUUAUUGGGCGUAAAGCGCGUCUAGGCGGCAAGGAAAGUCUGAUGUGAAAAUGCGGAGCUCAACUCCGUAUGGCGUUGGAAACUGCCUUACUAGAGUACUGGAGAGGUAGGCGGAACUACAAGUGUAGAGGUGAAAUUCGUAGAUAUUUAUAGGAAUGCCGAUGGGGAAGCCAGCCUACUGGACAGAUACUGACGCUAAGCGCGAAAGCGUGGGUAGCAAACAGG